rnacentral:lncRNA from 1 species
AUGCAGAGAUCAGGAAGCAGCAGAGCUGAUGUCAAGAACAAGCUCAAGAGGCAUGGAUUGAUUUCCUUCAGUUUAAGUCCUCGGCCCUACAGCAGGAUCUGUUAUCACUGUGAUACAGGGUGGAUAUGUGUCCAUGCACUCAGAUUACACAGCUGGUUGGCUAAAACCUCUCUGGCACAGACAGCGUUCCCAAGGAAUACACAUGGAUCUCUGCUCAGGAGCAGAGGGAGGCAGAGAGGUACAGAGAGCCCUUGGAGGCUUUCAUCUGCCUUGUCAGCGAGUCUGGCUAUUUCUCCCUGGCUGCAGAAGCCAGCUAUGAUUUAAAGUGAGUUAUCAGCUUGCCUCUAAUCAUAUUUCAGUAGUUUGCUACUGUUAAUAGCUUCCAAUAUAGCUGAUAUCCAGAGGAAUUCUGGACCCAGUCCUGACUGUGAUACUGCUCAGGGUAACAACUCCAUGCAGACAAUUGCUGUUAUACAGACAUUUCCAAAACUGCAAGGGAAGCUCCAUAACUCAGCAAACACCAAAUGCAAAGUUAGCAAACACAAACCUGAGUCUUCUCUUGGGUAUCCAGUGCCAUCUUUAAACCCAACCUUUACAAAGCAGCAAUGUUUGAGGUGGUGCACAGAAUAGGUGGUAGUGCUGUACCUCUUCAUCCCUGCAAUAGACAAGUAGAGAUCCUAUGGAAAACAUCCACUCUCAGUCAAACAUCUUGCUCUUCUGAAGCAUAGGUCUGCCAUGUGCAAUGUGUGAAUCAGGCUUCUGCCUGCAAAUAGUAUGUGAUAGAACAGGAAGGGACCAGAUUGCUAGAAAUAUGUGCAAAGGAGCUGGAUUUGCUAGGUCUUCAUGUUACAUUUGCACCUGCUAUUUCCUGCCUUCUAAAUACAUGACAUUUCAGUAUCAGCAAUUUCUUCAGGGCUUUGCUUCUCUUAUGUAUGCUUGUGCACGUAUAUGUGCAUAAAUUCAUUGUUUGUUUGUUUUUGUAAAAGCAAACUGAAACUUCAGAAAUUCCAUCGUGUGAGUUGAGCUUCAUUCCUAGGUGAUUCAUUGGUUACAUGGGAACAUUUAUCCAGACUGUAUAGACUUCUACCAUCCGGGCUGUGGGAGUACCUGAUAGCAGGAGUGCGUGGUUAUCUUCCUUGUAGGUCAGCGUAUAAAGGAGGAGGAGGCAAAUGCUUUACAUCUGGGUUUCACAAAUGCUCACCACCAACAAGAGAUAGUGAGACUCUUGAAUCUUGGGUUGGCCCCUGAGCUCUGAAAUAAAACGUGUCCUUCUGGGUGCA